rnacentral:rRNA from 1 species
UACGUAGGGACCGAGCGUUGUCCGGAAUCAUUGGGCGGAAAGAGCGUGUAGGCGGCCACUUAAGUCCGGCGUGAAAUCUUGCGGCUCAACCGCAAGCGGUCGUGGGAAACUGGGUGGCUAGAGUGCGGGAGAGGAGAGUGGAAUUCCUGGUGUAGCGGUGAAAUGCGCAGAUAUCAGGAAGAACACCCGUGGCUAAGGCGGCUCUCUAGUACGGUACUGACGCUGAGACGCGAAAGCGUGGGGAGCGAACAGG